rnacentral:rRNA from 1 species
UACGUAGGUGGCAAGCGUUGUCCGGAUUUACUGGGCGUAAAGGGCGUGCAGGCGGUCUGUUAAGUUCAGGGUGAAAGCUCCCGGCUCAACUGGGAGAGGUCCUUGGAUACUGGCAGACUUGAGGAGGGUAGAGGAGAGUGGAAUUCCCGGUGUAGUGGUGAUAUGCGUAGAUAUCAGGAGGAACACCGGUGGUGUAGACGGCUUUCUGGACCGUAACUGACGCUGAGACACGAAAGCGUGGGUAGCAAACAGG